AUCCCAGUUGCUGAGAUUGUCUGCGCUGCCGCCUGAUUCACUGUCGCUGUCCUCUGCGGGGUCCUUCAGGUCGUCAUCGGCGCUGCAGGAGUCUUCCUCGGAUGACUGGUUGUUCGGUGACGCUUGGUAAUCCUGAACGAACAGGAUCCUCUUCUGCUCCUCGCUGAGGGCCUCCAGCACCUCCGGCUCCACCCACAUGUCCUCGAGGAUUUUGGCCAGCAUCCUGCCUCUGCUCCCGGGUUGCCAGCGACAGCCGUCAGCCCCUCUGCCUCUCCGUCCAGUGGAGUCGUGUUUCAGCGGCGAGGAGCUGUGCGAGUCUGUGAUCGAGAGCAAGACAAACAAAAACCAGAGAUGAAAAGAUCUGCUAGUUAACAACGGACUCUGUGGCAAAGUUCCUGUACACAAGCGCAGUCUUCCACCUGCAUCACAGCUCCUAUAAUCAACUGGACACAUUUGAACUUGGGUGCAGCUGCACAAAAGAAAACCUUGAAUCAAGACGUAAACACAACAAACGUAUCACAGACAUCAACAUCCCGAAACAGGCACGGCAGAGAAUCAACAUCACACAAGGACAAAAUUAACAUAUGAGUGGAUCAACACACACACACACACACACACACACACACAUACACACACAUUUAAAGACAAAGUAUCCAGCUCUGGCUCUGUGCCAACAUGCAAAUAAGUCCAGGAUUUGUCUCUCCCUCUGUUCACAUGCAGGGGGAAGAGAAAGAAAGGCAGUGAGCGGAGGGAAAAGAUCUGCUCCCAUGUGACAUUUAGCCACAUUCCAGGACACAUGGAAGUAAAUUUCCCCCGACAGGCUGUGUAACGUUUCGGUAUGUAGCAGCAUGGGAAAUGGGAGUGAUUCUACCAUUUUAAUUUUAUCUGAAUAGUCUCUGUAUGGCUUUGUAUAGCCCCCCCCCCCCUUUUCUGUUUUCUUCCUCUAGGAAGUCCUGCUGGCUUUGCAUGAAACCAUUAAUCACGGCAGCAACAUGGUCAGGGUGGAAUGUGGAUAUUUAUAUUCAGGGGACUUUUCCGUCAACAGGUUGUUGACACACUCAUCAUACCGGCAGUCAUUGUUUCGUGGUUGCUCCGCCCUCAUUUCGCCAGAUGAGGUGAGUCCAUGGAUGCGGUGCAAAUGUCAGUAAGGUUCCUCUGAAUAACCACGGCUAAUAAUACCAAACAAGUGUAUUCAGUUCUUAUAACUAAUGACUCACCUGUCUCAUGCGGACCUGUCACGGCUGCGUGGGUGUGACCUGCAGGUAGUGUUUACAGUAAAUCAAACCCGGAUGUAAAUAUCAGUUGCUCUUUCUCCUCUCGUGGUUUUCUUCUCUUUUUUGGUCAUGUUGGUAUUUUGGCGAUAAGCAGCAAGUAAAAGUAACAAGUGAGACUGUGGACCUUCUGCUAAACAGAUGCCACUAACAUAAUAAUGGCAAAUGACAAAAACGUGAUGCAAGAGUAGCAUAAGUAGAAAAGCGGGUAAUGAUUUAUUUUACAGGUCUGUAAUCUCUAAGUGAUUUAAUGGUUUCUUAGCAAGAACCUUAAUUUCACAUCAACUACCAGAAUGAACCUGUUUUUCCCUGAAAGAAAGCGUAAUUUUAUAUCUAAAGGUGUAUUUUAUUAAUCAUUUAUAAAUGAAAACAUUGGUUUUGUCAUAGUUCUGCCUUCGAAUGGGGUCCAGAGUCCAUACCAGUGCUCCCCUCUUGUGACGUCCACGACCUCAGAAUUUUCUGAAAGCUCCGAGCUGGCAGCCUCUGGCAUGUUUGCUGAUGUUUUCAGAAAUGACGGAGGCCACAGAAGUUAAUUUUUCGUAUUAAGUUUUGUCAUUGUACUGUAUCUUAAGUCAUAUAGUCAAGUGUUAUAAUAUUUUAAGGUAAAACAUUUUUUUCCAGUCUCAUCUUUUCCCUCCGUCAUUAUGUUGUUGCAUUUCCUGCAUUACCUGUCUCCUACCUUGUUAGCUUGUCAGCCCCUGUAGCUUCUGGACACAGACAAUAAUGUUGAGAGUACCGUGUGGGCGACAUCCCUCAUCUUCCCCCAACUAGCUCACAAGUUACAUUUGAAAGUAGCAAAUGAUUUGUAAUUCAUGAAUCAGUAAUAUAGAGUAUGCUUAUGAAGUCAGCAAACUGAUUUAGUAAUUCACAGGUUACCCAACCUUCAUUGAGCAAUUAUUGCUUGAAAAAUAAAAAAUAGAGAUAUUUCAUAGGUAGCAUAGUUUCCUUAGUUUCAUGUUAAAAUAAUUGGAAAUACUCUAAUUAGACUUAACUUAACAUUUAUCUUGCUAGACUUGAAACUCUGUGAGCACCAGAUCAAAAUCACAGUGUAUACAGUAUCCAGUAUAUUUGUAUAUUUUUGUAUAGGUGACCCUUGUGGUCUCAGACUUUUGGACCCCACUGUAAGUAUAUUUAUAUUUACAUUUUAAGAUUUGAAAGCGUGAAUAUGAAUCAAUUGAGUAAUUCAUUGUGGUAAGAUAAGUCGGACUACAAUUACUUCCACAGGGACGUUUGCAAACCUAUUACAUUUAAUACCAAAUUCAUGACUGCAAAUUUGGAUUUUUUUUGUGUGAAAAGUUCAAAAAGACUUGUGGUUUGUUGCAGUGAAACAAUCAGUAAAAAAACCCACUGUUGCAGUGAUACCAGACA